AACGAACGCUGGCGGCAGGCCUAACACAUGCAAGUCGAGCGAGGACUUCGGUUCUAGCGGCGGACGGGUGAGUAACGCGUGGGAAUGUGCCCUUCUCUACGGAAUAGCCCUGGGAAACUGGGAGUAAUACCGUAUACGCCCUUUUGGGGAAAAAUUUAUCGGAGAAGGAUCAGCCCGCGUUGGAUUAGGUAGUUGGUGGGGUAAUGGCCUACCAAGCCGACGAUCCAUAGCUGGUUUGAGAGGAUGAUCAGCCACACUGGGACUGAGACACGGCCCAGACUCCUACGGGAGGCAGCAGUGGGGAAUCUUAGACAAUGGGGGCAACCCUGAUCUAGCCAUGCCGCGUGAGUGAUGAAGGCCUUAGGGUUGUAAAGCUCUUUCAGCUGGGAAGAUAAUGACGGUACCAGCAGAAGAAGCCCCGGCUAACUCCGUG
rnacentral:rRNA from 1 species